rnacentral:rRNA from 1 species
CGGGUAGCAAUACCUGGCGGCGACCGGCAAACGGGUGCGGAACACGUACGCAACCUUCCCAAAACUGGUGAAUAGCCCUCCGAAAGGAGGAUUAAUACACCGUACCAUAAUGAAGAGGCAUCUCUUUAUUAUUAUAGUCUUCGGACGGUUUUGGAUGGGCGUGCGCCUGAUUAGGUAGUUGGCGGGGUAACGGCCCACCAAGCCUGCGAUCAGUAACUGGUGUGAGAGCACGACCAGUCACACGGGCACUGAGACACGGGCCCGACUCCUACGGGAGGCAGCAGUAAGGAAUAUUGGUCAAUGGACGCAAGUCUGAACCAGCCAUGCCGCGUGAAGGAUGAAGGUCCUCUGGAUUGUAAACUUCUUUUAUCUGGGACGAAAAAAGCUCAUUCUUGAGCACUUGACGGUACCAGAGGAAUAAGCACCGGCUAACUCCGUGCCAGCAGCCGCGGUAAUACGGAGGGUGCAAGCGUUAUCCGGAUUUACUGGGUUUAAAGGGUGCGUAGGUUGGGUCUGUAAGUCAGUGGUGAAAUCUCCGAGCUUAACUCGGAAACUGCCAUUGAUACUAUAGGUC